rnacentral:rRNA from 1 species
AAACAUGUCUUUUAGAAAAUAAUUUAAAGUYUAAUCUGCUCCAUGAUAAGAAUUAAAUAGCUGCAGUAUAUUAACUGUACAAAGGUAGCAUAAUCAAUAGUUUUUUAAUUGAAAGCUGGAAUGAAUGAUUUGAUAAGGUAAAUAUUGUCUCUAAAGUAAAGAAAUUAUAAUUUUUUUUUUAGUAAAAAUACUAAAUUAAUUUUAAAAGACGAGAAGACCCUAUAGAUUUUUAUAUUUAUUUAUUAGUAAAUUAAAAUUAUGAAUGAUUUUAAAAUAAUUAAAAUAUUAAAUUGGGGUAAUUUUUAAAUUUAAUAAAUUUUAAGAAUUUAAAACAAAAAUUAUUGAAAAAGAUGAUCUUAAAUUUUAGAUAAAAAGAAUAAAAUACCUUAGGGAUAACAGCGUAAUUUUUUUAGAAAGUUCAUAUUAAUAAAGAAGUUUGCGACCUCGAUGUUGAAUUAAGAUAAAAUUUUAAAGUAGAAUUUAAAAAUUUUUGGUCUGUUCGACCAUUAAAAUCUUACAUGAUCUGAGUUCA